UACGAAGGGGGCUAGCGUUGCUCGGAAUCACUGGGCGUAAAGGGUGCGUAGGCGGGUCUUUAAGUCAGGGGUGAAAUCCUGGAGCUCAACUCCAGAACUGCCCUUGAUACUGAAGAUCUUGAGUUCGGGAGAGGUGAGUGGAACUGCGAGUGUAGAGGUGAAAUUCGUAGAUAUUCGCAAGAACACCAGUGGCGAAGGCGGCUCACUGGCCCGAUACUGACGCUGAGGCACGAAAGCGUGGGGGAGCAAACAGG
rnacentral:rRNA from 1 species